GUUAAAAAAGCUUUAUUUGAAGCACUGGUCUUGUAAACCAGAGAUUGAAAUUAAAUUUUCUUUUAACA
rnacentral:tRNA from 1 species